GGCGUCACCUCUCCCUGGGCUUCUCUCUCUUUUUGGGCAUCCUCUCUCUCUUUAGCGUGGUGGCGUGUGGGCAUCUUCUCUCUCUUUUUUGAUUUUUUUGAUCUAAUUUUGAAUUAAAAUUUUUAAUAUGAUUAAAUUUUAAUUUUAUCUAAUAUCUUUUAUAUAUUUUUUAUUUGAUUUUGACUAGAAUAUCGAAUCAAAAUCAGCCCCUGAAUCUGAUCUGCUGAAAAUCUGUUUUAGCAAAAAUUUUCUAUGUAGAUUUUUAUGCUGAUUUAAUAUUUGAUUAUACAUAGAUUUAAAUCUAUUUUUAAUAGAUUUUUUUAUGA
rnacentral:lncRNA from 1 species